rnacentral:lncRNA from 1 species
GGGAAACAAGAUCCCACGUACCUGUGCGUUCAAGAGCAGCAAUCUCCUCAGCCAUCGCAAACUGCCAUUCAGGAUGAACAACAGCCUGAUGAUAAGUAGUUGGCUCAAGAACAGCAGCUCCAGCGGUGGAAAAUCCUAAGCGAUCAACAGGCGGACGAGGACGAGAACGCAAGCCAUAAGUAGGCUGAGACGAGGAUGACAGCACAUCCAGAGAGGCAUCCACAGUACGUGAACGACGAGUGUAACACUGAGGAAAAGAUGGAACAAUGGAAGGAGGAAUCACUAAAGGAGAAUCGAAGAGUGGCGAGUGGAGUCCGAGCUGUAGCGGGACCGCAGCGGGUCGCGUCGGGAGGAGUCGACGGCCUCCAGUCGUGACGUUGCCUGGAACCGCUGGGAUCGGGACGGGCCGGGGCUUCGAGAUCCAGUGGCGGGUGGAGUCCGAGCUGUAG